rnacentral:rRNA from 1 species
UACGGGGGGGGCAAGCGUUGUUCGGAAUUACUGGGCGUAAAGGGCUUGUAGGUGGCCAACUAAGUCAGACGUGAAAUCCCUCGGCUUAACCGGGGAACUGCGUCUGAUACUGGAUGGCUUGAGUUUGGGAGAGGGAUGGCGGAAUUCCAGGUGUAGCGGUGAAAUGCGCAGAUAUCAGGAGGAACACCGGUGGCGAAGGCGGGUCUCGUGGGCAGUGAACUGACGCUGGAGGAGCGAAAGCGUGGGGAGCGAACAGG